UUCAUUAUUCUCUUGCAUUCUUGCUCUUGCUAUUAGCCUUGAAUUAAUUCUACUCACUCUAUCUAUUUAGCUUUGUCAAACAUUUCUCAUAAGUCAUUAGUAAAGCUUAAAAUUUUUAGAAACCCAAUUCACCCCUCCUCUUGGGUUGCAUAGCUGGGCAACAAUAAUGAUCAAAUAAUUAAUAUCAAAAUUUGAAAAGCCAUCAUGAACUUCACCCAC
rnacentral:lncRNA from 1 species